ACUCAUUUGACGGUACCCUCAAAGAAGAAGCACCGGCUUACCUCCGUUCCAGCAGGCGCGGUAGUACGGAGGGGGCAAGGCGGUGAAUCGGAAAUUACUAGCGCGUAAAGCGCCAUGCAGGUUGUUGGCUCAGCUCGAAUGUAAUAAAGACUUGGCUCUACCUAGCAAUCGCCAUUUGAAACUGACAAGCUAGAGUACUGUAGAGAGAGGUAGAAUUUCAGGUGUAGCGGUGAAAUGCGUAGAGAUCUGAAGGAAUACCGGUCGGCGAAGGCGGCCCCCUGUACAGAUACUGACACUCAGAUGCGAAAGCGUGGGGAGCAAACAGGAUUAGAUACCCUGGUAGUCCACGCCGUAAACGAUGUCUACUUGGAGGUUGUGCCCUAGAGGUGUGGCUUUCGGAGCUAACGCGUUAAGUAGACCGCCUGAGGAGUACGGUCGCAAGAUUAAAACUCAAAUGAAUUGACGGGGGCCGCACAAGCGGUGGAGCAUGUGGUUUAAUUCGAUGCAACGCGAAGAACCUUACCUACUCUUGACAUCCAGAGAAUCUAGAAGAGACGCUGGAGUGCCUUCGGGAGCUCUGAGACAGGUGCUGCAUGGCUGUCGUCAGCUCGUGUUGUGAAAUGUUGGGUUAAGUCCCGCAACGAGCGCAACCCUUAUCCUUGUUUGCCAGCACGUAAUGGUGGGAACUCCAGGGAGACUGCCGGUGAUAAUUUACGGGUUACCUGGUACGACCUCAAGUCCUCAUGGAAUCACAAGUAGGCAAGCACACGUGCUACAAUGGCGUAUACAGAGGGCAGCGAUACCGCGAGGUGGAGCGAAUCUCACAAAUUACGACGUACCCCGAAUGUGAGUCCGCAACUCGUCUCCAUGAAGUCGGAAUGGCUAGUAAUCGCAAAUCAGAAUGUUGGGGUGAAUCAAUUCCCGGUCCUAGUACACACCGAGAGUCACACCAUGGGAGUGGACCGCAAAAGAAGCAUAUAGUCUUACAUCGCGAGGACGC
rnacentral:rRNA from 1 species